CACAUGGAGGGAUGAUAGGCAACAAAAGGUAAAAUGAUGAACUUUAUCUUUUUAUAAAUCCCAUUUGUUGUGUUUCCUCAUAAAAAAGCCAAACUUUCUGAUGAGAACCUAUUCUUGUCAUAUGUAUCGUGUACAGAGACACUCCCUUGUGCUCUUUUUGACUCCACGCUUAGCUUUUAUCAAAGGCAGAUUCUAAGAGACAAGGGAAUCAAAAGCAGUCUAGCCAGCAUAUCUAUCCAAGCUGCUCUCCAGCACUGCCAUUCCCAGGUACCAGCAUUAUCAUUGUCAGCAGCAGAACAAAGCAGUAGGUUUCUCCAUGUGGAGCUCUGUAGGAUGAUGCACCAGUGGAGGCUGUCCCCUUUAAUAUUCAGAUGCUCAUUCAGCUGGUGAUGUGUAAAACAGAAGAUAGCAAAUAUGCAGAGUACAACCAAGUUGUAGUGACUUGACUUCGAAUUGCACAAGUAGUGGUAAGUAGCUGAAAUCAAAAUUUGAACCUAUUUUUGUAAUGGAAGCCCAUGAAGUAUACACUGAUGGAAUAAUUCUAAUGCCUAAAUCUCUCAGUUUCAUCAUUCUGUCAUUUGGUCUGUUCCCAUGAGUCACACAGCACAAUCAGAAUUAUAAUGAAUUUGAAAAGCCAGCAAUCAUGAGCACUCGGUAUUUAUAGAACGGAGAAGCGAUUACUAGUACUUUCAACGUAACAAUUUCAGCUUGCUGGAACUUUUCCAUCCAGGACAGUUUUCCAUCAGAAAACGUUGAUUCAGUGGAAACUUACUGGGCUAUUUCUGGUCGAUCCUUAAUCUCAGCAUCUCUCUUCACGCUGCUGUUGAAACGUACCCCACUUAAUUGAUACUGUGGGUGACUUCUUCCUGCUCAUUUUCUCCUUCAGCUCAUACCCAGUAAACUGUAGGUCCUUCUCUGGCACUCCAGUGCUGUGCUGGAAACAUGCAGGUACAACUUUCUUUUUUAACAGUAGUUCCAAGUACCAAAGUUCUGCUUUUACUCCAAAGAAGCUCACAGAUAUGAACACAUGGUUGCUGCUGCUACAUCCCUUCUCAGUUUUCUCCAUUUACUGUCAGCUGACAUGACCCAUGGUGCAUAAAUUGGAUUAUCACCACUUACAUCACUAGAAUAUCCCCUCCUACCAUUGAGAGGCUCCUCUGCAUUCUGGGAAUGCCAUUAUCCAUCCUUCCACUUCCAGGGCAACCUCUGUCUGUAUUUUGCGUUGCAAAGAGCAACUCCUAAACACGAUGAAUACUGCUGACUUCUUGUGAAUCUGAGCAAGGUCACAUCACUCUUCAGACUUCGCUAGCUUCUGUGUCUGCUUAAUAUUGCAGACAAAACUUCCCUUUUUACUUGUAAAAUUACUCAUCCUUAAUCUUGCUUCAGACUGUCUCAGGCUUUACUUUGUCCUGCUGCUUACUUCUGCUGCAGUGCUAGUUGCUUUUGUCUCUUUAUAAUCGCAUCGUAUUGGAUGCAAUAGCUGCCUCCUGUGCAGCUUCCCUGGGCCUCAUUAACUCAUGCUGAAGUUUCAUAUUUCAGAUGCCAGUUUUAGGCUUUGGUCAUAAUCUUCAAAGUAGUUAAUGGAUCAAGCCUUAGCUACAUUAAAGGCUGAAUUUUGAUCUGUGAACCAUCACGACAGCUGCAGUUCCUUGGGGCAAUGUAGAUUACAAAGCCUAGAAGGAAGUGUGUGGAAGGGAGGAACAAGGCGAUCUUCACUGAGAGCAGCAAGUGAUGGAAAAAAUACUUGGAAGAUAUUGUACAGACCCAGACCUUUCAAAACUGAAUCACUCCAAACACUGAUUCCCCCUCUGUCCUGGCACGCAAACCAACCAGCAACACCUCAGCACCAUCAGGAAAACAAAUGCUGAGUGAUUUGGUUUUCUGGAGAGCUACCAGAAAAUCUGCUCGAAACUGUGCAUUAAAUACAAAGCUCUCAAGGAGCCAAGUGCUGGAACAUCUCUUCUGCCUUGUCUUCAGUGCUGGUGCUGCUUUCACAGAAUGCCCCAGUGCUGAGGUUGUUCAGAUGAAGCAGAAUGAACAACAAUAUUCUAACAGAAACAACCACAGAUGAGCGGUAUCUUCUUCAAGAGGGGCUUUCUGUGAAGCUCAGGAUAAAUACAAUGCAGAGUUUACUUUUGAAGGUAAACCAGACCUUCUCAGUCCUAUUCCAAGCUAAAUUAGUGUAGUUCAGGCUUAGUGUUCAUCCAAACAGUGAAGUCCCACGGGUUAAUCUUCCAUGGAGGCUUCAACCAACUCAGUUAAACCGGUAUAAACACUUCUGUGAAGACUCUUGGUUUAGUUUACGUCAAUUCGGACUGUGUUUAUGGCAACCCAAAACGAGCUAUUCUUAUGCUUGACUACAAAUGUCAGCCAGCUUCUUGCACC